rnacentral:rRNA from 1 species
CGCUGGCGGCGUGCCUAACACAUGCAAGUCGAGCGAGGAGAUCCUUCGGGAUGAUCCUAGCGGCGGACGGGUGAGUAACACGUGGGCAACCUGCCUCAUAGAGAGGAAUAGCCUUCCGAAAGGGAGAUUAAUACCUCAUAACAUUGCAGUUUCGCAUGGAACAGCAAUUAAAGGAGUAAUCCGCUAUGAGGUGGGCCCGCGGCGCAUUAGCUAGUUGGUGAGGUAACGGCUCACCAAGGCGACGAUGCGUAGCCGACCUGAGAGGGUGAUCGGCCACAUUGGGACUGAGACACGGCCCAGACUCCUACGGGAGGCAGCAGUGGGGAAUAUUGCACAAUGGGGGAAACCCUGAUGCAGCCAACGCCGCGUGAGUGAUGACGGCCUUCGGGUUGUAAAGCUCUGUCUUCAGGGACGAUAAUGACGGUACCUGAGGAGGAAGCCACGGCUAACUACGUGCCAGCAGCAGC